rnacentral:rRNA from 1 species
UACAGAGGUCUCAAGCGUUGUUCGGAUUCAUUGGGCGUAAAGGGUGCGUAGGCGGCGCGGUAAGUCGGGUGUGAAAUCUCGGAGCUUAACUCCGAAACUGCAUUCGAUACUGCCGUGCUUGAGGACUGGAGAGGAGACUGGAAUUUACGGUGUAGCGGUGAAAUGCGCAGAUAUCAGGAGGAACACCGGUGGCGAAGGCGGAUCUCUGGGCCUUACCUGACGCUCAGGUGCGAAAGCUAGGGGAGCGAACAGG